rnacentral:misc_RNA from 1 species
UAUGAGAAGCAUGUUGUCAGAAAAUAGCUGGCUUUUGAGGGAGUCGGAGGCUUUUUCUUUGUAUUGUGAUUAUGCCCUUGGGGGAUGGAUUGAUGUUUUGGUGUUUGGCUUGAUGUGGAUGUAUGUUUACUGGGUUUGUUUGUGGUGUUUGUAACUAUGGUCAGUGUUUAUACUCUCAAGUGUUCGGAGACUGUAUUCCUAUGUGG